GCUCCCGUGGCGGAACUGGCAUACGCGCACGGCUUAGAACCGUGUCUCGAAAGAGUUAGAGGUUCGAAUCCUCUCGGGAGCA
rfam:Parcubacteria bacterium GW2011_GWB1_52_7 TY71_C0001, whole genome shotgun sequence.